CAAAUUAUGUCGUUCCACUUUAAUCCGCCAAAAAAUUUGAAGAAACACAAACAUCCAUAAAUAAAAUAGCGAGGAAAAUGCAAUUUCUGCUAACUCUUCUCGUCAUUGCGUGUGCCGUCGUUUUGGCGAUGGCGAUGCCAAAUCCGUCCUGGGAGUUGCAACCGAACGGAGACUUUGGAUAUUCCAUGGGCGGAGGUUCCUACCUGGGGACAGAUGGGUCGUAUAAUGUUUGGGGGAAAAAGUAGAUUUUCAGUAAAUCAGAUGGUGACCUGAUGUAAAUUCCAAGUAUCAACUUUAAAAUUAAAUUUAAAUCAAAUGUUAAAUUUUAAAUUGUAAAUUUUAUUGAUAAAACUGAUCUGAAAUAAUUAUAAAGCAAAAUGCAAUGAUGCUGUAA